UGGAAGGGACUAACAGAGGAAAGGGGCCGAAUUCUGAUCUUGGGAAAUCUAGAGUAACGUCACUGAGUUAUACUGGAGACAGAAUCCGGCCUCUGGACUUUGGCUUCCGAAGAGCAGAACCGAGGGGUAGCUCAAUAGGUGCAUUCAUACUGAAAGACUUCACUGUACGGUCUGUCUUGUUGAUAUUCUUAGCUGAUUGCAUUUGUAAAUUACAUAUGCAAAUUCCAGCGGUGCUACCAAACCCGGGAGCUGGGUUUCCAUGGUGAUUUUGUUCCCGUACUGUAGUGAUAAACCUGGAAUAGUUGGAACGAAACUGGAGAAUGUUUGUUUGCUUUGUUUUAAAGUUGGACACUAGAAUGAAAGUUCCUUCCUGCCACCAUGCUGCUGUUCUUUGGUUUGUUUCUAGUUGGGACUUCCCCACUGGACGGAUGGAGGAAGGGGCUGACUGCUUGGCAGACAGGGAGGAGGUGUUUAAAGCAUUGCAACAGCUGACCUCUUGUGAUAGGUUCUGUGGUGAGAGAGGGAGGAGAAUUCUGGGCACGUGGACCCGGGACGCUAACAGGAAAACCAACCUGCUGCUGGAGCACGGGUCAGGACGGUCUCUGCGGAAGGGGCUUCAUUCCACCCAGUAGCCCUUUGGGAAGUGAAAUUCUGGGAAGCUUUGCCUGCGACCCCUCAGUCUGCAGAAGGGGAACUCUCCACCAGCAAGACCCGAAGUAGAGGCGUUGGGGGGGAAAGGAGCUCAAGUUUUGGAGGCUGUGGUGGGAUCUUUCAACUAGUUGCCCCCACCUUGGAAAUGGACUCCUGGCCAGCUGCCCACAGUGCAGUUAUUAUGGUUCAAUUUCUCAGCUUUACUCAGCUUCCUCCUGGCUCUCAUUAACCUCGGGGUUCCCAUGUGGAGAUGGGACUUAACCAGCCUCCUUCAAGACGCAUUCUUAUGGGCCUUUAGACUUGGAAAUUCUCCUCUUGGCCAGGAGACUUUCAGGCCGGAUAUGUUGGGGUGAACAGCUAUGUGCUUUUAAGCCAAAUGGGAGCUUGAUUUCCCUGCUCUUUGGAAAGAGCCCACCAUUCACCCAUUUCCAUGGAAGCAGCCGUGGAAUUUCCCCACUCCUCCCUUCUGACGUCUUUGGGUCUUGGGCCUGUACGUGUGGCUGGUUUAUGACCCAGGGCAGAGAGCAUGUUGCUCCAACAAUGCAGCCCCUUGCCGUGGCAGUAGCAAAGGUGAAAACUUCUAAGCCCGUGCAACGCUGGGAGCUGAAUAAGGGGAACAGCUGUUGGUGUCUGGCUGGUGAGGAGAGCACGUUGGCGUGUUUGCUGGGAUAGUCGCAUGAGAUGCGAAUUCUCCCAAGGCAUAGGGAAAACAUGUGCUGUAUGGUCCUGCGUACGUCAGUCCAGCGCAAGCCCAAGGAGACGCCAUCGAAAACAGACGGGGCCAACGUGUCGUUGCAAUCUCACUUAAAAAAUAAACCAGGUUGGGUGGGGGACCA
rnacentral:lncRNA from 1 species